AGGGAGAGAGAGAGAGAGAGAGAGAGAGGGUUGGCUCAGAGACAGUGUCAGUGUGGCACACUGGAGCACUGAACAGAGAACCGGCAGAUACUGAAGAUGGCUAACUGACCAACAUGGAUGCAGCUAAAUUCAGGCUCUGUUCGAAUAUGGAGGCCUCAUGGUGUAUGAAAUGGUAUGAAACACUGGGCCAACUGCUGGAGUGAUGAUCUGAGAAAUUCACUGGAAAACCCCUCUUCAGGUCAUCUUGCUCUCUGUAACAUAACUCAGCCUCACCUGACCAUGGCCAGCUCUCACAGGAUUAAAUAACAGGGGAAUAUCCAGUGAUGUCACGACCCCCGACAAAGUACCUCUGAAUGCUCAGGAGAUGGAUGGAGUGAUGGAAAAACAGAGGGAGGCAGAGAAAGAGAAGGACAGCGAUGCUGCGGACGGACUAUUUGCACAACAUGCAGAAACACAGGCCAGCCACCGGAGGGCGACAGAAAAACAUAAAUACAGCACUUUGGGUUAUCAGAAGAAGAAGCAGAGGCCUGUGGAUUUCUCUACAGUGAGUAAGGGAUCGUCUGGCAGCAGUAGGUCUAGAGGAGCACUGAUGCAGGCGCUGUUCAGUCAGAAUGCAUCUGAAAAGUCUUCUACUCAGGAGGUAUUAAACUCUUAUUCACUCUUACACAUGUCUAACAUUUUUUUUAUUAUAUU
rnacentral:lncRNA from 1 species